rnacentral:rRNA from 1 species
AUGUUCCUCUCCCGCAUCGUCCUGCGCGACCUGGACUCCAUCGACUCCCCCGCCUCCAUGGCGACCUCCAAGAAGGUGGUGACGCGCGACGAGUGGGAGCGCAAGCUCCGCGACGUUAAGAUCCGCAAGGAGGACAUGAACCGCCUCGUCAUGAACUUCCUCGUCACCGAGGGCUUCGUCGACGCCGCCGACAAGUUCCGCGUCGAGUCCGGCACCCAACCGGACAUCGACCUGGCCACCAUCACGGAUCGGAUGGAGGUCAAAAAAGCGGUUCAGUCAGGGAAUGUUCAGGAGGCAAUCGAGAAGAUCAACGAUCUCAACCCCACGAUUCUGGAUACAAAUCCUGAAUUAUACUUCCAUCUACAGCAGCAAAAGUUAAUAGAGUUGAUUCGUAUGGGGAAAAUAAACGAAGCUUUGGAGUUUGCUCAAGAAGAACUUGCACCAAGAGGCGAAGAAAAUCAAGCAUUUCUCGAGGAAAUAGAGAAAACUGUGGCACUGUUGGUUUUUGAAGAUGUAAAAAACUGCCCAUAUGGUGAACUGUUGGACGUUUCUCAACGCUUAAAGACGGCAAGUGAAGUUAAUGCUGCCAUUCUCACAAGCCAAAGUCACGAGAAAGAUCCAAAGCUCCCCAGUCUGUUGAAGAUGUUGAUUUGGACUCAAAACCAGCUGAACGAAAAGGCAGCAUAUCCCCGAAUCAAUAACCUGUCCACCGCCGCACUGGAAGAUCCAGCUAUAUGA